GAAAGACAUUUCAAUUUAAAAUCUCGACAUUCAUCGAUGGCAGGUUGUACUGAAUGCACUCUGAAGAAACAAUACAUAACAUGAUCUUUUUUCUGAUUAAGAUAGCUCAACCCUACCUCAUCCACAAGAAAGAGUGGCCCUGAUACUACUGUUGUAGAGGUAACCUUUGAGAUUUAUACUCAGAAGGCGCACAAAUUAUGUGCAGAAAUGUAAGUGCAACAAUCCAACUCUGUCAUGUAUGAGAAUCGAUGUGAAUAUGGGAAAAUCAAUAGGGCAAAACACAAAUGCAACCUUGAUGACAGACUAACAGUAAAUUUACUCACGAAACAUGACCAAGAAAGCUAUAUCAUGAUUUUAUACUAUAAUAAAUAGCUAAGGGUUACAUACACAUUGAAGGUCUAGCC
rnacentral:lncRNA from 1 species